GUCUACGGCCAUGCCAGCUUGAACAAGCCUGAUGUCUGAUCUCGAAAGCUAAGCAAGGUCGGGCCUGGUUAGUACUUGGAUGGGAGACCACCUAGGAAGACCAGGUGCUGUAGGUA
rnacentral:rRNA from 1 species